UGCAUGAAGUCGGAAUUGCUGGUAAUCGCGGAUCAGCAUGCCGCGGUGAAUACGUUCCCGGGCCUUGUACACACCGCCCGUCACACCAUGAGGAGCCGGGGGACCCGAAGUCCGUAGCUUAACCGCAAGGAGGGCGCGGCCGAAGGUAAAACUAGGUGAUUGGGGUGAAGUCGUAACAAGGUACC
rnacentral:rRNA from 1 species